rnacentral:lncRNA from 1 species
UGGUGGAAUUAAGUUUAUAUUUUCUUUGUUUGCUCUCCAACUUUGUCAAGUUAGUUAUUAAGAUGAUAUCGUAAGGAUAUGUUACUGAUGAUUUAUUGGUAAAUAAGCUUGAAGCAAUGGGUUAUAGUUCUCAAUGCAGUGUUUCAUGGUUUGGGUGUUGUAAUAACAUUUGAUACAAACGUUAAAUUUCUCAGGAUCAUUGCAGAGCUUUUAAACUUUAUAGUGCAAGAUACUUAUACAUUGUUAAAGGUCAUACAGUGAUAUACAGUCAUGUUCAUUUUUGGAUCCUAUUUUUUCUCUCUAAGGUUGCUAAUUCUUUGAUGUGAAUACAAACACAACAAAUGUUCUUUUUUUUGUCAGUUUCAGUUCAUGUUUGAAGUAACCGUCACUUAAACAUUUUUACUUGGAGUAUAGAGUCACUUAAUUUACAAAGAUCUGAAAUAAAUGUCAGUUUGUUUUCAUUGCCAUCAAAAACUUG